rnacentral:rRNA from 1 species
AGCGAACGCUGGCGGCGUGCCUAAUACAUGCAAGUCGAACGAGUGGCGCACGGGUGAGUAAUAUAUAAUAAUCUGCUCUACACAGAGGAACAACAGUUGGAAACGACCGCUAAUACCUCAUAGUGUAGGAUGAGACUAUAUCGUAUCAGCUAGUUGGUAAGGUAAUGGCUUACCAAGGCUAUGACGCGUAACUGAUCUGAGAGGAUGAUCAGUCACACUGGAACUGAGACACGGUCCAAACUCCUACGGGAGGCAGCAGUGGGGAAUAUUGGGCAAUGGGCGAAAGCCUGAUCCAGCCAUGCCGCGUGAGUGAAGAAGGUCUUCGGAUUGUAAAGCUCUUUAGGUUGGGAGGCGGUACCAACAGAAUAAGCACCGGCUAACUUCGUGCCAGCAGCCGCGGUAAUUC